rnacentral:rRNA from 1 species
UACGUAGGGUGCAAGCGUUAAUCGGAAUUACUGGGCGUAAAGCGUGCGCAGGCGGUUAUAUAAGUCAGAUGUGAAAUCCCCGGGCUCAACCUGGGAGUGGCAUUUGAGACUGUAUGGCUAGAGUGUGUCAGAGGGGGGUAGAAUUCCACGUGUGGCAGUGAAAUGCGUAGAUAUGUGGAGGAAUACCGAUGGCGAAGGCAGCCCCCUGGGUCGAUACUGACGCUCAUGCACGAAAGCGUGGGGAGCAAACAGG